GACGAACGCUGGCGGCGUGCUUAACACAUGCAAGUCGAACGGAAAGGCCCCAGCUUGCUGGAGUACUCGAGUGGCGAACGGGUGAGUAACACGUGGGUAAUCUGCCCUGCACUCUGGGAUAAGCCUGGGAAACUGGGUCUAAUACUGGAUAUGACCUUUCUCCUUAUGGGGUUUGGUGGAAAGUUUUUCGGUGUAGGAUGAGCCCGCGGCCUAUCAGCUUGUUGGUGGGGUGAUGGCCUACCAAGGCGACGACGGGUAGCCGGCCUGAGAGGGUGAUCGGCCACAUUGGGACUGAGAUACGGCCCAGACUCCUACGGGAGGCAGCAGUGGGGAAUAUUGCACAAUGGGCGGAAGCCUGAUGCAGCGACGCCGCGUGAGGGAUGUCGGCCUUCGGGUUGUAAACCUCUUUCAGCAGGGACGAAGCGUAAGUGACGGUACCUGCAGAAGAAGCACCGGCUAACUAUGUG
rnacentral:rRNA from 1 species